GCGUGGACGCCAGUCUGCGUGGAGCCAUCCUUGAAAUACCACCCUGGCAACUUUGAGGUUCUAACUCAGGUCCGUUAUCCGGAUCGAGGACAGUGUAUGGUGGGUAGUUUGACUGGGGCGGUCUCCUCCUAAAGAGUAACGGAGGAGUACGAAGGUGCGCUCAGACCGGUCGGAAAUCGGUCGUAGAGUAUAAAGGCAAAAGCGCGCUUGACUGCGAGACAGACACGUCGAGCAGGUACGAAAGUAGGUCUUAGUGAUCCGGUGGUUCUGUAUGGAAGGGCCAUCGCUCAACGGAUAAAAGGUACUCCGGGGAUAACAGGCUGAUACCGCCCAAGAGUUCAUAUCGACGGCGGUGUUUGGCACCUCGAUGUCGGCUCAUCACAUCCUGGGGCUGAAGCCGGUCCCAAGGGUAUGGCUGUUCGCCAUUUAAAGUGGUACGCGAGCUGGGUUUAGAACGUCGUGAGACAGUUCGGUCCCUAUCUGCCGUGGACGUUUGAGAUUUGAGAGGGGCUGCUCCUAGUACGAGAGGACCGGAGUGGACGAACCUCUGGUGUUCCGGUUGUCACGCCAGUGGCAUUGCCGGGUAGCUAUGUUCGGAAUAGAUAACCGCUGAAAGCAUCUAAGCGGGAAACUAGCCUCAAGAUGAGAUCUCACUGGAACCUUGAGUUCCCUGAAGGGCCGUCGAAGACUACGACGUUGAUAGGUUGGGUGUGUAAGCGCUGUGAGGCGUUGAGCUAACCAAUACUAAUUGCCCGUGAGGCUUGACCAUAUAACACCCAAGCAAUU
rnacentral:rRNA from 1 species